rnacentral:rRNA from 1 species
GGAGUUAGCCGGUGCUUCUUCUGUGAGUGAUGUCCUUCCUGCCGGCUAUUAACCCGCAGGCCUUCUUCCUCACUGAAAGUGCUUUACAACCCGAAGGCCUUCUUCACACACGCGGCAUGGCUGGAUCAGGGUUGCCCCCAUUGUCCAAUAUUCCCCACUGCUGCCUCCCGUAGGAGUCUGGGCCGUGUCUCAGUCCCAGUGUGGCUGAUCAUCCUCUCAGACCAGCUACGUAUCGUCGCCUUGGUGAGCCGUUACCUCACCAACCAGCUAAUCCGACAUAGGCUCAUCCGAUAGCGCGAGGCCCGAAGGUCCCCCGCUUUCCCCCGUAGGGCGUAUUCGGUAUUAGCCUGGGUUUCCCCAGGGUUAUCCCCCACUACCGGGCAGAUUCCUAUGCAUUACUCACCCGUCCGCCGCUCGCCACCAGGGAGCAAGCUCCCCGUGCUGCCGCUCGACUUGCAUGUGUUAGGCCUGCCGCCAGCGUUCAAUCUGAGCCAGGAUCAAACUCUGA